rnacentral:rRNA from 1 species
UUGAUUCAGCGGCGGACGGGUGAGUAAUGCCUAGGAAUCUGCCUGAUAGUGGGGGACAACGUUUCGAAAGGGGCGCUAAUACCGCAUACGUCCUACGGGAGAAAGCAGGGGACCUUCGGGCCUUGCGCUAUCAGAUGAGCCUAGGUCGGAUUAGCUAGUUGGUGAGGUAAUGGCUCACCAAGGCGACGAUCCGUAACUGGUCUGAGAGGAUGAUCAGUCACACUGGAACUGAGACACGGUCCAGACUCCUACGGGAGGCAGCAGUGGGGAAUAUUGGACAAUGGGCGAAAGCCUGAUCCAGCCAUGCCGCGUGUGUGAAGAAGGUCUUCGGAUUGUAAAGCACUUUAAGUUGGGAGGAAGGGCAUUAACCUAAUACGUUAGUGUUUUGACGUUACCGACAGAAUAAGCACCGGCUAACUUCGUGCCAGCAGCCGCGGUAAUACGAAGGGUGCAAGCGUUAAUCGGAAUUACUGGGCGUAAAGCGCGCGUAGGUGGUUUGUUAAGUUGAAUGUGAAAGCCCCGGGCUCAACCUGGGAACUGCAUCCAAAACUGGCAAGCUAGAGUAUGGCAGAGGGUGGUGGAAUUUCCUGUGUAGCGGUG